rnacentral:piRNA from 1 species
UUAUCAUAACUAACAAAGCCAUCCC